rnacentral:lncRNA from 1 species
GUUGGGCAUUCCUCCUUAGUUUUAGAGUUGGACAAGAACAUAAAUGCAAAAGGCAGUUUUCUGUUCCAGAGAGUCAAAAACCGACUACUCCCAUACUUGGGACUGGGGUGGAUAGUAGAUAGGCAAUUUUUCUUAAUUUUUAUUAUUAUUAUUAUUUUAGUUUUUACUUAUUUUUUAAAAGGCUUCCAUAGAAGAGGUGGCCUUUGAAAUAAACUUUGGGAGAUGAACUGGCUUUUACAGAUGGUGGGGGAAAAUGGCAUAGGGGCAUCUAGAACAAAGGCUUUUUGGUUUUUGUUUUUUAUUUUUGUAUUUCUAGGAGUGCUUUUUAUUGAUCACGGUGGAAUUACCUGUACUGUGUAUUUUAAACACGCAGCCUGGUCAUCAUGAGAUGGUUUGUCAAACGUGAAAAGUUUUCCAAAACUAAGUUAUAUUUACUCUUCUCUAAAUAAGAACACCUUUUUAUUCCUAGGGAGAAAGUCAAUCAAGAUGGAAUCAUAAAUAUUAAUAAGAUCUUGUCUAUUAGUCGCUUGACCCUCACCCCCACAGACUUUACAUAAGCCAGAGUCCCUACAUUUCUGUUCACACAGGCAUUAUACACCCCUCAGGUCCAACCCUAUGGGAUUGUAACCCCUGGGGCAAGAGAGACAGCUCAACAGUUAAGAGUGUGUAUUGCUUUUCCAAUUGAUGUGAGUUCAGUUCUUAGCACCACAGGAGGCAGCUUGUAUCCACUUAUAACUCCAUCUCUAGAGGAAUACAAUCCUCUCUUCUGGUCUCCAUGGGCAUAUGCAGCAUACAACCACAUGGACAUAUCCACAUACAUACAACAAAAAUUCAAAAGGGAAAAGGGAUUGUAACACAUGGAUGUUUCAAAUCAAUGUUCAUGUGGUAGGCAUUGCUAUUGGACAGGUAUUACUGGCUUAAAUAUUUUGCGCUGAGACUCUGAGUUGAUACACAUUUAACAUUGCAACCCAGUAUUCCUGUGAACGUGAGUACACAUGACUAAAAUACGAGUGUCAGGUGAUACCCGGUGAUGUACAUGAUGCAGUCUGAUAUCUUCUAUAUCAAAUCUGAUAUCUUUCUUUUUAAAAAAUUUCCCAUCCAUGGAUUGAAGCCUGCAAUGUGAGAACAUCUCGCAUCCCCCAUCAGGAGGCAAAGGGGAGAGACUGUUAGGAGUUUAGAGUGUUGUAGGUUGCCCUGAUGCUCUUUGCAUUCUGAUGUUAAUUCUACUUCCUGAAGAGGGGCUGCUCCCCACCCCCGCCCCCAGCUGCCCCCUGCCGAGAGCAGUGGAUCACAUGGGUGAUCUCCUGUGAUUCCCCUUCUCCAUUUUAACUGGUUAAAUAAAGGUUAGAGCCUGUGAUUGGGCAGUGGAAAGAAAUGGUGGGACAGGAUGUCUUAGAAAGUGGGGGCAGAUAUGAGGAGGAAAAGGGAGGAGAGAGGAAGAGGAGAGGAAGAGGACGUGAAUACGGAGCCUAACCAUGUGGCCAGGAGAAGUUUCAAGUAGCAGCCCUAAGUCUGCCCAAUCCGGACAUAUAGCUUAGGAAUGUAAUAACCAGAUUGUGUGUUUUUAUACGGGCUUGUUGGGGUUGGAAAUUACUACAGCAUUAGAGAAUAUCUAUGCACAUAAAAAUCUGAAAUACAAAGCAGACACUGCCCACUGGAGGAGGCACGGGCACAUCCUGUUGAGGGAGAGUAAAAUAUUCAUGGCUUCGUGGCACUGAAAUGUAUUCUGAGGAAGUAGAAUUUCAGGAGGAGGAAAUAAAAGGGAAGAGAAUUCAUGUGGAAGGAAUAGCGCAAAUAGACAUGGAGGCAACAAAGCGUGGUACUUAUUUGAACAUAAAGUUAUAGCUAGGGCGGGAUGACGAUGGACUGCACUCCCACCAGGCUGCUGGGAACCAACAGUAUCCUAACCUGCUGAAGGAUGCUUCCCGGGGAUCAAGUGAUGCUCAUGAUUCUUUUCAAGUCAAUCACCCGGAGACAUGCCCAGGACAGCGUCUACGAGGACCUGGGCUUCCCAGGCUUUUCAUGUCGGGCACCUCCAGAAACUUCUCAUCUUGGCACUCAGGUUCCUGGACAUUUUCUUCCAUCAUUAUCAAUUUUUAAGCUUCUCUCUGUCUCUUUUCUCUCUCCUAUUGGGUCAAAAUGGCCCACAAGGCAUGAUUGGAGAGCUAGGCGCAUGCAUCCUGAGUUUCCUAGAGGUAUUUCAAGGAGAGCAGCCUUGGUAAGCUACCUACACUCCCAUUGGCUGAAAGUGAUGACAUAGUCUUCGGAGGAGGCUUUCAUUGGUUGAAACUGUUUGUAUGCACCUGCCCUGAGCACGAGAAAGGGGUCUCAACAGGCUCCAGGGUGAAAUUGUUUUUUGAGAAUCCUUUUCAGAAGUGUCAGUGUGGAGAAAGCCGGAAGAACAUGGAUCCUCUUGUUUGGUGAGAGGCAGCGACCAGGGACCCGGAUGUGUCAUGGGUUGAGGACAGUUGGGUAGGAGGGCUGGUUAGUUCAGGAUGUGGAAGUUGAGGGGUGCUGCUGGCGUGGGAGACAUACAAGCGUUGGAAGUCUUUGGGUUUUAAUCAGAUGCCUUUUGGUGACAAUGAAGACGCGAUUACGUGUAUGGAAAUGGUUCCUUCCUGUGUUCCAGAUUCUCUUUUGUGGAAUGUAGGAGGGUUAGAAAAUGCUAAGAAUCUAUUUUGGGAAAAAGUCCCUGUGAGCCAGAACGGCUAAUCAAUGACACUGCAGAUUAGCAACUCAGCAGGCCCUUCUGCUUAACAUAGGUUAAAAUAGUAGGCAAGUUAAACAACAGAUCAAUUUCUCAACAUGAAGUACUAGGUUAUUUUGUGUGUAAAUGGGAUUUCAAGACUUAAAAUAGAUUUGUCUAAGUUUUCCUAGUUUGGGGGAAGAAAGCCUGGGUGGCAAAAUCAAGGCCAUGAAAGAACAUAUUAAUAUCAUUUGAUAGAAAAUACUGUUUCCUUGUUUUAUUCCCAAGCAAAAAUCUGUAAAACUUACUUUCAACAUUGGCGGCUGUUCCCUUUUGUCUGGAAAUGUAAUUGGAGAUUUUGAAUUCAGCUGGCUUCAACCUUGCUUUCUGUUGGGCUCUGGACAGCUCACCCCCCCCCCCCCCCCAGUCUAAGUCUUGGCUUAAUCACUUAAAAGCCAUAAUGGUGCUUGUCCUACCUCAUCAGGCUGUGGCGUUCCAUAAUAAAAGCAUCAGUUACUCCACGAGGGCCAAAGAUGCUUCUUUUACAGCCUUUGCUUCCUUAAAAUUCCUUUUCUUUUUUUUUUAAUAAACAAAGAAGCUUAUUGAAGGACCACAUGGGGUCUGCUUCAGCUAUAUGUAAAAAACACAGUUCUUGGCUCGACAUUGCAACCCAGGGACACAUUUGAGUGAAGACUAGUCUUUCCCAAUUUUGUGUCAUAGUGCAAUAGAUAAAUGUGGUUGUACUAGUGACUUAUGUAGACAUGUGAAGCAUUACAUAAUCUCCAAUGUUUCACUAAGAAUGUAUUGUAGUACUAGCCAUUGCAUCAAAUGACUUCAUUUGGUACCGUGGGUCCCCUUACAGUAUAUCUAGCUAAUGGAAAUUUAGGUUUAGUAGAAACAAAAUACUGUUAUACCAGGCUAUGAGGAUACCACACCACCUAACUAAGAGGUGAAAUGAGUUUUAAUCUCAAACCACUACUAACUACUUGGGUGUCUGAAGGUGGUGGACACACUGGGUGGUUGGGUGCGGGCCGAGGUUGCCUAUAGGGCAGGGUACUGUGUGAACAUUUAUCAAUGAUGUGACCGAGGCCAUGUGAAAACAUGAUUACCUGGAUAAGUGGACCAGCAGCGGUUGUGGGCUAUCUCUGGAACUUGGUGCUGAUUAGUUGUUAUCACACCGACACACACUAGAGUCACUUGGAGAAGGGAACUUGAAUCCCAGGACAUGCUUUCAUCAGACGGGCCUGCAGGCUUGUCUGGGUAGCAUUUUCUUGACUGCUGAUUGACUUGGGUGGGUCCAGCCUAUUUGGGUUGCUGCCUCCCCUGGUGUGUAUAUAAGAUCAAGAAAGCAGGCUGAGCAAGCCAGUCAGCAGCAUUCCUCUAUAGUCUCUGCUUCAGCUCUUGCUUCCUCGGUCCGGUCUCCAGCUUUCUGCCUAGGCUUCCCUUCAGGAUGGUCUUGUAAGCCAUACAAACCCUUUCCUCCCCGAGUUGUUCUGAUCCUGGUGUUUAUCACAAUAACAGGCAAACUGGGGUAGACUCCUUCCAGCUGCUACAGUCUGAGCCCACUCCCAUUACUGGGGAGCAGGAGCCAGAGCAAGCAGAAGGCAUUAAUUGUAGUCCCUUGGGUAUCUCUCCAGUGCAGUUUUUCCACUAACUUGUGGAGAAAGCCAGGGAGGGGACUUAAACUUCUUCAUAGAAUAUCUCCCCAGGAGGCGCAUUGUUAGCGGAGGUAAACAAAAAUGACUGUAAUUUGGAGACCGCACUAACAUAUCAACUCACAGUUAUGUGCUUACCUUGAUACUGAAAAUAAUUUUAUUUUUGCUUUUUUUAUGGGCAGGAAAUUAGUUUUCAGAAUCCCCCUGGGGGUUGUAAUGCGAGCCUGUUAGUCUUAGUUAAAUUUUUCUUGUCAUACCUGGGCCGUUUACCUCAGUUAGGAAGUGAGAGAACACAUUUUCUGUCAGCGUUCAUUGAAAUGUUAAUUAGCUCCCUGACAGGUAGACAGG